AGCGAACGCUGGCGGCAGGCCUAACACAUGCAAGUCGAACGGACCCUUCGGGGUUAGUGGCGGACGGGUGAGUAACACGUGGGAACGUGCCUUUAGGUUCGGAAUAGCUCCUGGAAACGGGUGGUAAUGCCGAAUGUGCCCUUCGGGGGAAAGAUUUAUCGCCUUUAGAGCGGCCCGCGUCUGAUUAGCUAGUUGGUGAGGUAAUGGCUCACCAAGGCGACGAUCGGUAGCUGGUCUGAGAGGAUGACCAGCCACUCUGGGACUGAGACACGGCCCAGACUCCUACGGGAGGCAGCAGUGGGGAAUCUUGCGCAAUGGGCGAAAGCCUGACGCAGCCAUGCCGCGUGAAUGAUGAAGGCCUUAGGAUUGUAAAAUUCUUUCACCGGGGACGAUAAUGACGGUACCCGGAGAAGAAGCCCCGGCUAACUUCGUGCCAGCCGCCGCGGUAA
rnacentral:rRNA from 1 species